UACAGAGACCUCAAGCGUUAUCCGGAAUCAUUGGGCGUAAAGCGUACCGAUAGGUGGCUUAGAAAGUUUUGGGUAAAAGCCAGAAGCUCAACUUCUGAGUUUGCUCAAAAUACUUCUCAACUAGAGGGGCAAAGAGGUCCUUGGAACGAACGGUGUAGUAGUGAAAUGCGUUGAUAUCGUUCGGAACACCGAAAGCGAAGGCAGAGGACUGGGUGCCACCUGACACUACUAGGACGAAAGCGUGGGGAGCGAAUGGG
rnacentral:rRNA from 1 species